ensembl:lncRNA
AAACCAUUUCUCCUUGUCCUGAUAUUAUCUACUCUUGUAAAGAGCUGACUCCCCUCUUGUUUGUAGGCUCCCAUUAGGUACUGGAAAGCUGCAGUGAGGUCACCCUGCAGCCUUCUCUUCUCCAGGAAGGUUUCAUUCUACCUGCCUCUGCCUCUUCCUUAUCACACACCCUUCCUCUCAGGAAUCUCACAUACUAAGAGAUCAGAAAAUUAUUUAGCAACAACAGAAGGCUGUGAGGUCCAAACACAUCCAUGCCCUGCAUUCCCUUGGAUGAAAGGACUGUGGGCUGAGAAGCUGACCCUGUGGGAUGGCUACCAUUGGUGAUGUUGAUCAAAGGUAUUUGAUCUCACCACCUAGACUGAAAUGGGAUGGCAGCUGGGGAAUCAGACAAAGAGCUACUCAUCCAACAUAAUCACAGCCUACCACGAGGUCUGGUCUCAGUUCAACCAGCGUUCCCUGGAAGAAGUGCUCAGGGUAAUGGUUGUAAUCUUUCGGGCAUUCUGAAGCUGUAAACCCAAGAUCAGCUCCUGCGCUACCUGGAGCAGAAAGUAAUUUGAUUUUCCAUUUCUGGCCUUUGCAGUGAGUUGACUAAAGAACUGUUUUCUGGGAGGAAAUCUGUGAGUGUACAUACAGGCCCAGACUUUUAUGAAGAUCAGCAGUAUUUCUGCAGAAAUCACUGGACUUAGACCAGGGCAGAGUUGGUGUUAAUGAGAAUGAAAUCCUGCAAAGCCUGGAAGCAAUCCAAAUCCUAUGUCCUUCUGAAGCAUCGUAAUUGAUUCAGAGCCCCUAAAAGUUGUGUUUUAUGGAGAUAGUUACAACUCCUUUUGUUUUUGUCCAUCCUUCUCCUGAAGGUCAGUCUGUCCCUAAAGGGAAGAGACCAACUAUUCCAUCCCUCCACACAGGGGUUGGUUGCCCUCAGUCCUGGCCAUCCCUUUGGUUCAUCUCUCCUCAGCUCUGUCAUGACAGCAAAUGCUCCCCUG